AUUGAACGCUGGCGGCAUGCCUUACACAUGCAAGUCGAACGGUAACAGGUCUUCGGAUGCUGACGAGUGGCGAACGGGUGAGUAAUACAUCGGGACGUGCCCGAUCGUGGGGGAUAACGAGGCGAAAGCUUUGCUAAUACCGCAUACAAUCUACGGAUGAAAGCGGGGGAUCUUCGGACCCCGCGCGGACGGGGCGGCCGAUGGCAGAUUAGGUAGUUGGUGGGGUAAAGGCUCACCAAGCCAACGAUCUGUAGCUGGUCUGAGAGGAUGAUCAGCCACACUGGGACUGAGACACGGCCCAGACUCCUACGGGAGGCAGCAGUGGGGAAUUUUGGACAAUGGGGGCAACCCUGAUCCAGCCAUGCCGCGUGCAGGAUGAAGGCCUUCGGGUUGUAAACUGCUUUUGUACGGAACGAAAAGCUCUCCUCUAAUAAAGGGGGGUCAUGACGGUACCGUAAGAAUAAGCACCGGCUAACUACGUGCCAGCCGCCGCCGUAACAC
rnacentral:rRNA from 1 species